AUCAUUUCUCAGCCUCUGGGCUAGAAUCAAAUGUAAUAUUUGGUUUUAUCAGUUUAAUAUCUAUGUGUCUUCUAUCUGAGGAAAAUAUAUUAAAUUAAACCCUUAGAAGUAGAGAGAAUGAGAGACUGAUCCAUAAAGCCAGGCAUUAUCUUUGUAUUGUAAUAGUCUCAGAAAGUGCAUUUAAU